GACGAACGCUGGCGGCGUACUUAACACAUGCAAGUCGAACGGAAAGGCCCUGCUCUUGUGGGGUGCUCGAGUGGCGAACGGGUGAGUAACACGUGAGUAACCUGCCCUUGACUUUGGGAUAACUUCAGGAAACUGGGGCUAAUACCGGAUAGGAGCUCCUGCUGCAUGGUGGGGGUUGGAAAGUUUCGGCGGUUGGGGAUGGACUCGCGGCUUAUCAGCUUGUUGGUGGGGUAGUGGCUUACCAAGGCUUUGACGGGUAGCCGGCCUGAGAGGGUGACCGGCCACAUUGGGACUGAGAUACGGCCCAGACGCCUACGGGAGGCAGCAGUGGGGAAUAUUGCACAAUGGGCGGAAGCCUGAUGCAGCAACGCCGCGUGCGGGAUGACGGCCUUCGGGUUGUAAACCGCUUUCGCCUGUGACGAAGCGUGAGUGACGGUAAUGGGUAAAGAAGCACCGGCUAACUACGUG
rnacentral:rRNA from 1 species